GAGCGUCACCACCUUCUCUCCUCCCCUUUCCCCCCCUCCCCACCGGCAACUCCCCCCCCACUCAAACUCCUUCCAUCCACCCCCACUCCUUCCCACCAGUAACCGGGCCAGGACCAUUGCCCUUCCUCAUGGCCACCCGUCUGCGAUGUCCAAGCCUCCCGUUGCCAUCCGAUAGAUCUCCAUUCCUAACACAUAUAAAAUUGGGAAGUAACUACAGUUUUACUAGAUCUCCAUGAUGACACACUCAGUCAUUUUCUACUCUGAUGGAAAGGAUGGCCAUGUAAUUUCUCCUGAGGAACUUGGCUCUUUGGUCCAUGUUUGGAUUGGAUUGAAGUCUAGAGUCAAGUGGUCCUUCCAGUUCCUAGCUAAGCAGAGGUGUGCAAGUUAUCAGAAGAAGGAACUCAAUUCUUCAUCCAACAUCAUGCCCACCUGUUCUUUCUCCAUAAAGAGAGAAGAGAUAAAGUUAGCAUUACUUGUCACAUGCACAUCGAAACAUACAGUGAAAUGCAUAAUUUGCAACAAUUCAAGUUAGCAAGGAUUGUGCUGGAAACAGCCUGCUGGUGUUGACAUGGUUCUGGCACUAACACAGCAUGCCCACAACUUACUAACCCUAACCAUCUGUCUUUGAAAUGUGGGAGGAAACAAGUACCUGGAAGAAACCCACGUAAUUACAGAGAGAACAUAUAAACUUAUUAUACUCAGGGUAGGAAUUAAACCUCACUUGGUGAUUGCUAGCUCUAUAAAAUGAUCACAUUAACCACUACACUACCAUGCCACCCCACAAUAAAAUAAAUACCAAAACUAAAUAAUGACUUAAUAUUUCUCCCAUCUCACUAUCUGAUAUCUGUGGUAUGGCCUUGUUUCUUUUUCCAUCCCAACCUAAUUUUUGAUGAGUCAAUAAAACCAUUUACUUUUUGUGUUCUGUUCCUUGAUAUUUUGAUUUUCUAUUUACUCUUUGCCAAUCCAUUAUUUUCUUUUUACUUUUUUCUUCCUCACUUCAUAUUUUCUUUGAAGCCAAAUUUGUCCUCCCAGUGUCUUAUACAACUUCAACAUAAUGUCCUAACUGCUGCACUCAACAUUUAAGAUUUAUGAAGGCCAAUGUGCCAAAAGCUCUGUUUACGACCCUAUCUACCCGUGAAACCACUUUCAAGGAAUUAUGGAUCUGUAUUUCCUGAUCUCUUUGUUCCACCACAUUCCUCAGUGCUCUGCCAUUCACUGUGAAUUUCCUAUUCUGGUUUGUCCUCUCAAAGUACAACACCUCACACUUAUGUGCAUUAAAUGCUUCUGCCACUUUAGCAGCUUGUGCAAGCCUUGAUAGCCUCCCUUGCUGCUUACUGAUCAAUCUUGGUAUCAUACAAAAAUUUGCUGAUCAUGUUUACUACAUUACCAUGCAAAUCAUUGACAUAGGUGGCAGGCAGCAAUAGACCCAGAACAGAUCCCUAAUAACAGAUCUCCAGGCAGAGAGAGAACCAUCUACUACCAUUCUUUGGCUUCUACUGCUAAGUCAAUGUUGAAUCCAAUAUACUACUUCAUCCAUAAUGUCAAGCUGGUAAACUUGACCAGUCUCCCAUGGGACUUUGCUCCCAUGUGCAUGUAGCCUUUAAUUUAGCAACUUUCCUGGUAACCUGCUCGAAAAGCUAUAAGCCUGGUUAGAAAUUUAAUUACACAUUCUAUUAAAGAGUUGAGUUGAAAGUUUCCACUUCCACAGUGGAACACAAACUUGUGCCUUAAGAUGAAUACACAAAUAUUUUAACCACUAUGUUAUGUAUCAAUUAAUAUUUGUAGGAUCUAUCUUUUGCCAUCUUGUUACAGUUGAAUUGAGUUAUUUAAUAAAUAGGUUAUUUCUGGUAAAUUGUGUUUGUUAGUUGUACUCAAUAAGGAGUUGAAAUAUUAAUUUGUUGCUCAGUAUUGUGUUGGAUCAAACAGGGAGAAUAUCAACAACUGCAGAUUCACAUUUAUAUUUCAGAUUUAUUUAUCACAUGUACAUCAAAACAGACAGUGAAAUGCGCCUCUUGCGUUAACAGCCAACACAACUUAAGGACGUGCAUGGGAUCAGUCUGCAAAUGUCAGUACCAACAUAACAUGCCCACAGUAUUCAGCAGAACAACAUAAGCAACACCAACAACAGCAGAACAAGCUCCUUUCCCCACUUGUACACAUUGACGGGCUUCCAACCCUGGACAGGCUGCCUCUAGACCUCUGACCUCCAGUUGCUGGCUUGAAUUUGCAGCCAUCAGACCCCUGAUAUCUGACAAGCCGAUGCAGAGAGACUUCUGGACUUGGUGAUCCUCUGGCUAUUGACUCCAGGACUACUGAUCACGGGACUUUGACCUUCGAGCCUCAACCACCAGAUUCAUGCGACCCUUGGACCCUGGAAUUCACCGAUCUGCGGGACGUUCAGCUCUCGUGCCAUCUGCUUGCACGGAUCUCCAACUCCAGGACUUGCUGACCUGAGGGGGUCACCGGCUCUUGACUUCGGGACCUACCGACCUCACUCCUUGACCACGUGAAUCAUUGCUCUUCAUCCUCAGCACCUGCCCGACCAAACCUCCACCCUCGGGGACUGCUGGCCUUCAAACGUGGAACACUCUGACCUCAAGCACCUGCCCCUGACUCUUCAUUUACUGCUCCUGACCUAUAACUUUCUCUCAUCCCUGUCCCUAAACCCUAACCUAACACCUGUGCUGUACCCAAAAUCAUUCUUACAAAUCUAAAAAACAAUUAAGUCUGAGUCACUACAUCCAUUGACAUCACAACUCAAUGCCGUCUUAAUUGGAAACCAUCCAAUGCUGUCACUAUGCAGAGUUUUGACUCUGAGAAGAGAGUUGUUUUUCACACAAGACUAUCCACUCAUUAGGGCCCAAAGUGACCUGUAGAGCCGUGCCCGAAGACCUAACUUAUUUUUGGCCCUUGCAACUUCCUUCUAGAACAGGAAUCCAUGCUUUUUGGUGUCUGUUAAGGUGAUAAUCAUUAUUUUACCCCUGAAACAUCCCAGGGUGCAAUUCUAGAAAGCUUAUAUCAUGCAGUCAGCAAUAUGGAAGCUUACCAAGAGGGAUCAUUCUGAGGAGUCAUUUUGAUUUUUAAUGAGUGGCAACAGUGAAGAUGAAACACCAGUAGCUGGCAACUCAGUGUAGAAUGCUGCUGAUUGCAGUCAUGGACAGCUGGCCUUUUGAAUGGCAAGUUUACUUCACUACCAAUCCCAUCUUAUGGUAUAUAUCUUCCAGAGGGAUGUCAUCAUCAAAGGUAACUUCAUUUUGAUUUUCUGCCACAAAUAGUGAUACUGAAACAGAGCCAUAAAAAUAAUUUUAAAAAGUAAUAACAGUCAGAAUGACGACGAGAGUUUACCCAUAUGUAAUUUACUAAAGUGACUGUGUUCUGAAGUUGCCUUGACUCGUAAUUGCCUGUGGUUCACUAAGAGGUACAAGUGAAAAACAGUUAUUCUGUUCUAAUGAAUCUCCAUUUUCUCUAUAUCUAAAUUGCCUGUUUUUUAAUUUCCCAAUUCUUUCCAUCACCAUACACAUGUAGGCCACAAUGUCGGUGCUUCCCUUUGCUACAUAGAGAGUUUUAGGUGGCAAAGAGGUGAGUUUAUAUUUGCAGCUUCUACAUGCAAUGUGUAUGAAAAAUGUUAAUCACUUAAGUAUUAUUUGAAGAAGUGAUAUUAAGUAGAUAAGUGGUAAUUAAAAGAGCAAGUGUAAAGAAAAUGCUAUAAGAAACAGUGAAGGUAGUGAACAGAUAGAUAGUGUGUACAGUGGAUUCUGAUUGAUUGAGUCGUCAGUUAAUUAGGGCAACCAGUUAUUUGGGACAACUCUUAAAGAACAAAAAUUAAUCAUGAAAAUAGCCAGAAUUCCCUUUAUUUAAUUGGGCCAUUUUGCUGCUUAAUUGGGGCAAGAGACUGUUACCAAACAAUUUCUAACUAGCAUCAGACAAAUGCACUUGUGUGGCCAAUAGACACUACACAGUACUUUGAGCGAACAGUGUUUAAGUAGUGUCAGUUGUGUGUGCUUGUGUUUAAAAAAAAAUGAUUUUUUAAAUCAUUGUUAGUCGUGAGAAAUAAGCAGUAAGACAAUUCAGAAAUGUUUUGCUCACUGCGAUUUCAAGCAUUCAAGUUUGUAGCUGCCAAAAACGGCCUGGAGUGAAAAUGAAAUGAUCUCACUACUUCAGCAAGUUAGGAACUAUGAAGAAUUUGAAGUUAUUGAUAAUUACCUUGAAUAUUACAAUGAAAAUGAAGAUUUGGAGGAUGUAAUUGUCAAAAGCAUUGUCUGAAGGCAGUCCAUUAUCUGUACUAAGUGCCUGCACUGAUUUUGUUCAUUUACAGUCAAUCAGAAGUAUGCGCCAGUGCACGCUGGAUGAAUCCCUCCAUCAAUAACUACUAGGAACUAAUACAGUCUUAUAGUACUGUAACAGUAUUGAUGGUGUUCUAAUUUGUCCUGUAUUUCAUUUAAAUACUUAAUUGUUUUUCCUCAGGUAAAUGACAAUUUGACUUCUUUCAAAUACUUUUUAAACUGUUUCCAUGAAACUUCAGCUAAUUGGAGCAGCUACUUAAUUUGGCCAAAAUAUUCUGAAUGAUGUGAGGUCAUUGAGGCUCUAUACUUAGGAUCCAGAUCUUCCGUGGAAUUGAUGCGCUUUUCACUGGUUUCUUAAUCCAUUUGAAGUUAUGCACAUUUAAAGAAACCAGUAACAGCUUUCUAUGUAUAAGGAAGGCCUCUCCUUUUUUCUCACCUUUGGCUGUAACGCCUUCAGAGAGAGGCAACUCCAGUUCCUCAUUGCAUUCAAGUUCACAAUCUGGCAUUAAGAAGAAAUGCAACUGGAAAGAGUAAUAAACCCUUUCAGUGGUUGCAUAUGCCUAUUAGCUGCUUUAGCUAUUUGCAAAAAGGUGUGCAAAGUGAAUAAAAGCUCCAAAGCACCAUUCAGAUCCCCAAUGUCUACCAUCCAAGAACACAGGCACAUGGGAACAGAGUCAUCUACUAAAUCCCUUACAUGUCACAUAUCAUCCUGAAUUGGAAAUAGAUCGCUACUUAUUCAUCAUUACUGGUUUAAACCUUGGAAUUUCUAUCAUCAUUCUAAACAUGCCCAAGGAAUGGCUGCAUUACUUCAGGAAGUUGGCUCACCACUACUGUAAGGGCAAUCGGGGGGGGGGGGGGGGUAAAUAGUCUUGCCAACAUAGCUGCAACCUGAAUAAUGAACAGAAACACAUUCCAGCAAAUUCCAAGAAAAGCACUCUUCUUGCCAAAACUUAAUAAAAACCACAAAAUUUUGGGGAAAAUUUUCCAGCAGUUCUUUUAAAGUGAAUGAUAUGCACAACACCCAUGAAGUACACAUUCAAAAACCUCUUGGGUAUUCUGUGUGUGUGUGCUGGUCAGCUGACAGCAAAAUAAUUGCAAACUGAUUCUGGCGGGUAAAUUAAUGCACCAUUUCUAAAGCUUUCGUUGCUAAACAUCAAAAUGAGUGACUGACAACAAUUCCUCCUCGCUCAUGGUUGCUCCAUGUGGCAGCCUCAGCAAAAUGAAAAGCAAGCAUUGAUGUGUACACUUUGAGAAUUGAAACUACUGUAUGUUGCCAGACAGAGGAGAAAGCAGGAAAGGACAGAUGAUCACUGAGCAUUCAUGGUAGCCAGAGCAUUAUGACUGGACAAUUCCUCCCACCCCCAAUCUUAAACCCUCCCACCCAUGUGACCUCCCUGGCUAAGGCCAAAUCCAAAGAAAAAGCAAGUACCAAGGGAAAUAAUACUUUGAAAAAUUCCCCCAGGCGAUCAAAAUUAGUUUAGAAGAUCACAUGGACAAUGUGAUUUCUGUUAAUUCUGCAAGAGUACUAAAACCACUAGCAGAACUGUAUUCCACAAUCUACAGUGUCAGUACUAGAAAUAAACUAAUUUGCUUACAGGUUUCCAGUGCUCAGUUUUACUAAUAAAAUAAUAGAAAAAUUGCAGCAAGAUUUGAAUGUUCCCUAGAUGCAUACUACAACUGUAAAAGAAGUGAGUGUUCAGUGACUGAUCAAAAAACAUUUAAUAUAUAAAAUCAAAAUUCAUCUGUCUCUUUUUUGAAGUAAUUCAAAACUGGCUUCAUGUUGCUCAGGAAUUUAAACUAAUUGACAUCAAAGCCCUAACAUGGAAAUGGACAAAUACAGGAUAUGAACUGGAGACACUGGUGAAAAUCUUUCUUUAUAUGGACUUUUUUUUAAGUUGUUUUCUUUUGAAAAAGAGGCGGUGGUGUGAAGUACGUCGGCCAAUCAAUAUCAUCAAAGAACCAGAAGUUCUUUCAAGCAGAAACUCACAUCCUGUGGUAAUGAAAUUUUCAGCUCAGACAGGGUACAAUAUCCUUCAUGAUCUCUUGGAGAAUGGAAACCUUAACUUGUUACUGUGCCUCUUAUUUAUAAAUUUUGUUUUAAUUACAGCUUUAUAAGAGUUGGGCUUUUUAAAAUAUUGCACAUGUUACUAGAAAUAGCCUAUAAAAUGAUAGAAUCACUCAGUCUUGUUGCUACUCACAAAUUGUUCAAAGGGCAAUUAAUUUAUAAGUAAUCAACAUUGAAAGUAACUAUAAAUAAUAACUGGAAAGUGCUGUUAUUUAGACCUAUUUCAUAGAGCAUUCCAGCUCUUUUAAACUUAUGAAAUAAACUAUUUUGAUUUCUAUAAUUUUAUAUUUGCAAAAUUUGCCUUGUAAAAUUGCAAUCCUUUGCAUGAAUUUUACAAAUGUCUGAUAAGGUUAUGCAUGUUUAAACUACUUCCACUGUAUUUAAUAGGUUAGUACUUUAAUGCUUUUUACAUUGCGCAGUUCAACUGCUUCCUUUGUAUUGGUGUUAAAAGAACAAAGUUCAAAGUAAUUUUAUUGUCCAAGUACAUGCAUAUUACUAAGAUUUGUUUCAACACACUCAAAAUACUGGAGGAACUCAGCAAGUCACACAUCAUCUAUGGAAUUAAUAAACAGCUGACAUUUCAGGCCGAAACCCUUCACGAAUCUGAUACGGGAGGAGAGUGGACCAUAGGAGAAAGGGAAGAAAGAAAGAAUCCAGAAGGAGGUGUCAGGCUGGUGAGAAGAUGUAACAUGCCAGAUUGGGGAAUAGAAGAAGAGCCGAGGGUGAGGGAAUCUUUUUUUACUGGAAGGAGAAAUGGAUAUUCAUUCCAUCGGAUUGGAGGUCAUCCAGACAAAAUAUGAAGUGUUGCUCCUCCAUUCUGAGGGUGGUGUCAUCUUGGCACAAGAGGAGGCCAUGGACCAACAUGUUAGAACAGAACAGGCAGAGGAGAGAUUUGUUUUCUUGCAGGAAUACUUAGUAAAUCCAAGAACUAUAAUAGAACCAAUGAAAGAUGGCACUGGACAGAUAAGCAACUACUAUACAAAAGACAACACACUGUAAAUACAAAAGUCAAUCAUUAUUAUUUCUUUCUCAAUCUUUAUUAUUAUUAAUAAUAUGGACAAAAUACAAAUGAUAUAUUAAUAAAGAAAUUACAAACAUACAAAUUCCAUUACAGAUGAAAAAAGACAUAAACAAUGGUUACAGUAUAAAUGGGUUUACCAAAACAUGAACCAUACAGUAUAUGUAUGAACAUGGUAAGUAUAGAUAUUUCAUAAUAUAUGAUAUAAAAAAACAGAAAAAAGAAAAAAAAUAAUGCAAAAUUAACUAAUCUACUAAUCUAAUGACUAAUAAAGAAGAAAAAAAAAGGGCUGUUUAUAAUAUCUCACAAGAAUACAUAAUCAUCAAUGUCGUCACUUCCGGUCCUCUCAACAUACAUAAGCUAAAAGCUGGAAAGUCAAAUGAACUUGGAUCGGGGUCAUAUUACAUCAUAUGAAAAUAUUGAUUAAUGGUCUCCAUAUCUAUUCAAAUUUAAUAGAAGUAUCAAAUAUACCACUUCUAAUUUUUUCUAAAUUUAAACAUAACGUAGUUUGAGAGAACCAAUUAAAUACAGUGGGAGGAUUAAUUUCCUUGCAAUUCAACAAUAUAGAUCUUCUAGCCAUCAGAGUUAGAAAUGCAAUCAUUUGACGGGUGGAAGAAGAUAAAUGCAGUGAGUCCAUCAUUGGUAAACCGAAAAUUGCAGUAAUAGGAUGAGGUUGUAUAUUAUUUCUAAUUAUUUUGUAUUUGCAGUCUGUUGUCUUUAAUAAAUAGGUAUGCAAUAAAUAUUGAGAUCUU